rnacentral:rRNA from 1 species
UACGGAGGGAGCUAGCGUUGUUCGGAAUUACUGGGCGUAAAGCGUGCGCAGGCGGUUUUGUAAGCCAGAUGUGAAAUCCCCGGGCUCAACCUGGGAAUGGCAUUUGGGACUGCAAGGCUGGAGUGCGGCAGAGGAGACUGGAAUUCCUGGUGUAGCAGUGAAAUGCGUAGAUAUCAGGAGGAAUACCGAUGGCGAAGGCAGGUCUCUGGGCUGACACUGACGCUCAUGCACGAAAGCGUGGGGAGCAAACAGG